GAGACACUGAAACAAACAGGCAAU
rnacentral:piRNA from 1 species